rnacentral:rRNA from 1 species
GAUCAUGGCUCAGGAUGAACGCUAGCGGCAGGCUAACACAUGCAAGUCGAGGGGCAGCGGGAUGUAGCAAUACAUGCCGGCGACCGGCGGAUGGGUGCGUAACGCGUAUGCAACCUACCUUAUACAGGGGAAUAACCUUUCGAAAGGGAGACUAACACCCCAUAGUAUUGAUUUAAGGCAUCUUAGAUUAAUUAAAUAUUUAUAGGUAUAAGAUGGGCAUGCGUAUGAUUAGCUAGUUGGUAAGGUAACGGCUUACCAAGGCGACGAUCAUUAGGGGUUCUGAGAGGAAGGUCCCCCACACUGGUACUGAGACACGGACCAGACUCCUACGGGAGGCAGCAGUGAGGAAUAUUGGUCAAUGGGCGCAAGCCUGAACCAGCCAUGCCGCGUGCAAGGAAGACGGCCUUAUGGGUUGUAAACUGCUUUUACAUAAGACUAACCGUAUAUUUGCGAAUAUACCUGAAUGUAUUAUGAGAAUAAGGAUCGGCUAACUCCGUGCCAGCAGCAGC